GACGAACGCUGGCGGCGUGCUUAACUCAUGCAAGUCGAACGGAAAGGCCCUGCUUUUGUGGGGUGCUCGAGUGGCGAAAGGGUGAGUAACACGUGAGUAACCUGCCCUUGACUUUGGGAUAACUUCAGGAAACUGGGGCUAAUACCGGAUAGGAGCUCCUGCUGCAUGGUGGGGGCUGGAAAGUUUCGGCGGUUGGGGAUGGACUCGCGGCUUAUCAGCUUGUUGGUGGGGUAGUGGCUUACCAAGGCUUUGACGGGUAGCCGGCCUGAGAGGGUGACCGGCCUCAUUGGGACUGAGAUACGACCCAGACUCCUACGGGAGGCAGCAGUGGGGAAUAUUGCACAAUGGGCGGAAGCAUGAUGCAGCAACGCCGCGUGCGGGAUGACGGCCUUCGGGUUGUAAACCGCUUUCGCCUGUGACGGAGCGUGAGUGACGGUAAUGGGUAAAGAAGCACCGGCUAACUACGUG
rnacentral:rRNA from 1 species